AGACGCCCUGGAUUACAUUUAAGCUCGACGAUUGGAUCUUCAACUCUUAAAAACUGCACGGUUAUAAUUUGUUUCUCCACACAGUAUACGUAAACACGAAAGAAACUUUUGACGGACAAGUGAGUGUUGUUAUACCGAACCGUCGGAAGGUUCGGGUGUCUCCACGUACUGAUUCUUAGCAAGUGAUUCGCUAUAAUUAUUCAUUGGCUUUGAUAUUCUAGUUUUCAACGAUAACUCAGUACCAUUUGCAAAGGUUUAUAAGUCAGGAAUUGCGAUGUUUACCAACAUUUUCAAAGGAAUCCAUUCAUCUUUCAAGUCCACAAUCGAAGCACAUCCUGAUCAAGAUAGACAAGAAACCUUGACAAAAUUCGUUUCUAGAGCACCUCCAAGGAAAAACACUUGCAACAGAAACUCGACGCCCAAACCUUUUGCAUUGUCAAUCUUUAGGAAUUGGGAAAUGGAUUAUUCACCCAUUCAGUGCCAAGACGAAUCACAUAUUUCCUUUUAUCAAAGUUUUCAUAGCUUAUUUCAAUAUUCCGACAAAUCGCAUGAAGCUGUUUAUAAAAGUACUCAACAAACUUUGGAAAGAGGAAAUAGCACUUCCUCUUGUGAUUCUCAUUUUGAAACUAUUUCCGAUGAAAGUGAAGACUCUUUCGAGAUAGAGUAUAAAAGACCUCGUGAACCCUAUGACGACGAGGACGACGACCAGAAAGAAUCUAAGAAGUUUAGAGUUAGUGACUUGCAUGGCAAACCUGUUAAAAAUUUAUUCGAGGUAAUCGCUGCAAUUGAGGAAGGGGAAAUCACUAUUUGACUUGCAUACAGUUGAUAAUUUUAUUAUGGAAAGAUGAUGGGUGUUAAAAAUGUGUAAUUAUGUCAAUACUUUCAUUUUUGGUGAAUGAAUAUCUUUUCAUAUGUGAAUAUGAAAUUUAAGUUUUUUUAAAGAACAGUGUAAAUAAGCAUGAUAAAAUCAAUCAAUCAAUAUUAAAGCAUUACGUAAUUUAUUAAUUUUUAUAUCUCCAAUAAGGAUCGAUUUUGUGAUUAUUUGUAUAAUUAUAUUAUUAUUGAAAAGAUACGUUCGAAAUACAUUCCAGAAAGUGCAAUGUUUAGUUAUUAUGC